GGGGAUGGCUGUGUGUCAGGCAUCCCUUCCUGCCGAUUUAACACGCUGUCAAAAUAGAUGUGUCGGGAUUAAUUUAAAAAGAGACCGGUGCCAGAAAGAACCUAUAAAACGCUCUGGCUUUUUAAAAUAGUUGUGCCAUUCUAACUCUUUUGCAUCUUCUUGAUUUUCCAUCCAUGCCUCCUGAGUCGAGAAGACUCCACAGAGAAAACGUUCUGUGUGUUUCUGAGCCUGUUUGGAUACGGUCCGCGGCUGCAGGCUGCCGUGGCCCAAGCGCGGAGGUCAGACCCCAGGCUUGAGGAGCUGUGUUCUCUCAAAGGUCCCAGCUGCCUCUGGACCCGUGAAGUCUUACCCCCUGUGCUGGUAGUAACGUUCUUUAGGGCAGAGUCUUCAUCUGUUUUUGUUAAAUGCAGUGUUGUUGCUGACCUGUUUUCUGAUUAUAAAAGUAAUGUGGAUUCAUUCUGGAAAACUUGGAAAAUAGAUAGUAGGUACAAAUCUUGCUCCAUGCUUUCAAUACAAUUAAUGGCACAUUCUUUUCGUUUUCUUUCUUUCUUUCUUUUUUUCUUUUUCUUUUCUUUUCCUUAGGGCUGCACCUCUGUAGCUCUGAUUAGACCCCUAACCUGGGCACCUCCAUAUGCUGCGGGUGCGGCCCUAAAAAGGCAAAAAAACAGAAAAAACAAAACCUCACCUUCUGGAAGUACUUAUUUGGGGGGCAUAUUCUUGUCUUUUUUUUUUUUUUCCUUCUAUGCACAUUAUUUUAAAGGUUGAUUUCAUUAGUUCUGUAACUUAAUGCAUAGGUCUGUCUCUUAGCUUAGUGUAUUGAGAUGAUUGAUUUUCACUUUAACAUCUUCAGUAAUUCUGGGUGCAUUUUGCUGCCUCUAUGGCUGGUAGUGUCUAAAUGUUUCUAGCUGAUGCAUUUUAUCUGUGCUUUUCUUCUUGGCUUUACUGCCCCCCCCCCGCCCCCGCCCCGGGUCCCCAUGUGAAGUCCUCAGGUCCUUUCUCGGCACUCCCACCCCCCUUCUCCAGCCUUCUGCUCCUCUGACUGCUCUCUGCCGUCUCUGCCUUGUUUUAGAGGCCUUGGGGUGACUGGGGGAGUUACCUGUCUCCGUGACCAUUUAUUCCACGGGAAGUCGAGCCGUGGCUAAGGGUCUUAGUAAGGUGUUUUGUCUACCCCAGCAGGUGCAGCCCUGGGUGGGGUCACAGUUGUCCCUCACCGUCUGUAGUAGAGAGAACCCUGACCCCUAUGGAACAGGAAUGCUGGGGCACACGCAGUGUCUUGUUUUCUCCACCAGGUGACAGCCUAGGACCUCUUCAGCAGGGAGCCAGCGUGAAAGCCAGAGGUCACACGGGCACUGAGAGCUUUCAUUUGCCAUUGUGGGGGGACAUACCACUAGGAAAGCCCCCAUUUCUUGUCGGUAGGUAGCACAAGCCCUUUGAAAAGGAGACAGAGGGGAUUAGAAUAGGAGUGCCUUCUUGACUGAUAUUCUUUCAUUGAGCUGAUUUAGGCUGUGGGAGGCUUCUGAGCUAAUCCACAAAUGCAUAUCUCACUCUGUACUUGGAAAAAUGGGAGUUCCCGUCAUGGCUCAGCGGUUAAUGAACCCGACUAGUGUCCUUGAGGAUGUGGGUUUGAUCCCCGGCCUCGCCCAGUGGGUUAAGGAUCUGGCGUUGCUGUGAGCUGUGGUGUAGGUCACAGACAUGGCUCAGAUCCCAUUGCUGUGGCUGUGGUGUAGACCAGCAGCUGUAGCUCCAGGUCGACCCCUAGCCUGGGAACUUCCAUAUGCCUCAGGUGUGGCCCUAAAAAAGCCAAAAAGAAAUGGUUGCGCUCGUGACAUUUCCAGAGUCAGGGCAGUGACGUCCCCAUGGUUAAAGUCUGCCCUGCAGAGAACUUGGGGACAGUGCCACCUCGCUGUGACUGCAGCACCCACAUCCGCAUAGACACGUGUUGGGUUUUUAACACGCUACGCCACAGUGGGCACUCCGGAAAUUUAUUUCAAUUUCUAAUACGGUAAAUAUGGAUAGACGCUACCCACGCUAACGAAACCUCUUUGGGGUGCUCAGUAAUUUUUAAAAGUGUGAAGGGGUCCUGAGACUGAAAGCUUGAGAGGCGUGUGUUCGGGCCAGGCUUCCUGAGCCUGGCGGUCACGAUGAGCGGGAGCAGGAGCGCAGGGCUGCCUGGUUCUUUUCUCCUGCCCCUGCCGAGCCCACUUCAGACUUUCUUGGCCAUGUUCUUACGACUCUAAGGUGUCCGUUCUAGGCAACUCAUGGUUUAAAAAAAAAAAAAAAGUGUUUUAUUUGGGUACAUUCAUAAAAACCCACUGAUGAGAGAGGAAGAGAAACAUCCCCGGCCAGUUUUUGUAAAUCAAGUUGUAUUGGAACCCACCAUGCCUGGCGGUAGGCCUGUCGCCUGUGCAGAGCGUCCCUGGCGCACGAGGCCGAUGGCGUGAGGUGAGGGGGCCUGUGUCAGGCCCUCAGAGGAUUCUGUCCUGGGCGCAGGCCACCUCCAACGAGUGUGGGGCGGCCCCUGAGUCGAUGUUCUUGCCGAGGCAUCCGCGAGGGCCUCACCCCGGGGGGUGGCGCCAGCCUACGGGGCAGGGCAGGGGUCUGUGGCCUUCGGCAGAUCUUCAGGCAAGUCCGUGACCCUCGGAAGCAUGGAAACCAUAGCGCCGUGGACUGUCGUGAAGAGAGAAUGAGAGAAAAAAGUGUAUUUUGUUAGACUGGCUUAAUACAGUGAUUUUUAAUUCUUUCAAUCACCGAAAGCUCUUUUCAUUACUUAUUCUCGGCAGGUCACCCCAGCUUCCUUCAGUGUCAUCAGCCUAAUCACAGCUUCUGAUCAACAGUGUGAAAUAAUCAAGUAACCAGGGAGUUAAUAUAAUCCUCAGCCAACAGCAAAGGUUGCGGGUUUGAUCCCUGGCCUUGCUCAGUGGGUUAAGGAUCCGGCGUUGCCAUGAGCUGUGGUGUAGGUCGCAGACACGGCUCGGAUCCCGCGUUGCUGUGGCUCUGGCGUAGGCCCGUGGCGACGGCUGAGAAUCUCCAUAUGCUGCAGGAGCAGCCCUAGAAAAGGCAAAAAGACAAAAAACAAGCAAAAAAGAGACAGACAGGAGGGGCUGGCAGGAGUGGAGUCAGAGACGAGCGUGGCCCCGGCCCCUCAUCUAGCAGGGCCUUGGGUGUAGUUCUGGAGCAAAAGGGAGUCCGGAGGCAGAGACCCUGGCUUGACCUGACAGUGAAAAUCCCUUGCAGUUAUUUUCCUCACGUGGGAUGGUCAGCAGCCACUCCCUUGGGCCAUUUUUCUUUCUUUCUUUGCUACUUUUUAUUAGUCAUCUCAGGUAAAGUGUUGCCCGCAGUGAGGUGCACGGCCCUUAGCUGUUGGGUUCUGUGCAGGACACGGGCAGCUUCCCCCACUCGGGGCCAAGCAGAGGCCCGGAAGCCAGGCCGCCCGCGUGGGUCCCGUGCAGUGUGAGCUUGGGGCCCAGAGCUGAGGCAGGAGGUGGGAAGGGGUGACUGGAGGGUGAGUCAGAGCGAUUCUCAUGCCACCCAGGCUUCGCCAUCACACUGGGUUCUUUCACUUUGGUGUUGGACUCAGAAUUCCCUCUGAAGCGUGGCGGGGAGGAUGCAGGAGAGAAAGAUGAUGGGCGGUGCGGGUGUUUUUAAGCCUCGAGGCUUUCCUUGUGCCUGGGGAAGGAUUGUUUGGGGACGUUUUACCCUUUAAGUGGUUGUCCUGGGGCUUUGCUUUCGUGCCUCCCAUAGAUCACCUGGCAUUAAGUCCUCAGGCUGGCCGGCGGCUCCCGGGCAUUGCCUGGCAUUCUGGGCUGCGAGCCCAUCCCUGAGCUGUCAGUGGGUUGCAGGGCUCCAGAUUGCCACCAAGGGUGGGCCUUAGAAGCUUGGCGCUUGGAGCGAGGGACUUGGGGUGGAGCCCUGGCUUCCCCCCCUGCAAGCUGGGUGCCCUUGGUCACCUCCUAAACGUCUUCGGGCCCAAGUCCUCCGGUCGUCAGGCGGUGGUCACAGCGCCCCUGCCCUCAGAGGCUCCUGGGAGGCGUUCACGAGACGGUGCGGGAGGGGGGCCUGGCGCACCGUUGCUGCUCAGGAGAUGGGACGCCCAGCUCUGCGGUUUUUAUCGUUGUCACAGUUCCAGGACCAUCCAGGGAAGACUGGGGCCCGGGGAAGGGGCUCUUUGACGGCCCGCUUGGUUACUCUCUGAUGCAAGCGGGAAGGGGAAGAUGUGCGGAAGGCGUGACGCUGCCUCCAGGCGGGCGCCUGUGCUCCUCGGCUCCUGCGGCGGAGCUGACGUCAGAAGCAGGGCCUGGGCUGGCGCUUCCUGCCUCGGGGGGCACUUGCUCGGUUCUUGGGGGAAGAAGCACUUGCCAAAGCCCGGAGUCCUGGCCACGGGCCUGAGAGUGAGGGGAGGAAGGGGACGCCACACCGAGGCAGCCUGUAGCCGCGCCCGAAGCAGCUGGGCCUGCCCCCAACCCCUGCCCUCCCGUCCCGGGGAGGCUGCUCCGAGCCUCACAGCCGGGCUCGGUUCCAGGGUCAGGCCGCCGGGGCGUCCGUCCUUCAGGAACGCUCUUGGGGUGAUUCCGGUGCUCAGCCAGGUUAGGAAGCAUUUGCCGUGAAGAAAUUCUCCUCUGAAGGAGACCAGGGCCCCCCCAGAGAGGCAGCGGCAGGCAGGCCAGGCGCAGGCACCCGGAGUUGCAGUGGUGCAGGGACCGGAGUUCAGGUCUCCUGGCUCCCGUCCGAAGUACGUCUGCUCUCCCCAUGCUCAUUUUUUUACCAUAUUUGCUGUUCCCCGUGGCGGGGUGAGAAACAGCCAGCCCAGCCUGGGUGAGCCUUCACUCCCGUGGGAGCCCAGCCCAGCCGAGGUCCAGCGAGCACAGGCUGUCAGCGUGCGUAACUCUGGGGAAGGCUUCUUUGGAAGAAAAGCAAAAGGGAGGCUUGAGAUCCCGGGCUUCGCCCUGCUGCUCACUGCCCGUUGCCUCGUGCUGGCGAGGUUGCAGCCUGGGGGUGGGUCCUCCUCUGCUCUCAGGCCACCCAGCGUGUGCGCGUGUGGCCGCCCUGCUUCCAGGAGAUCCCGGGGCCACCACUGCGUCCUGUUUUACUUACUGGAGCCUGGGUUCCUGCCAAACGUGGCAGCCCCAGCACCUCUUCUGGCAUUGGACUGAGAAGGCAGACAGGCGGCCCUUGAGCAGGGCAGGGUUAGGGGCCUGGCCCUCUGCACAGUCGAACAUCCAAGUGUAACUUAGAGUCGACCCUCCAUCAUCACGGUUCCUCUGUAUCUGUGGUUCCACAGCUGUGCGUUCAGCAAACCGCGGCCCCCACAGUACCGUAAUGUUGACCCCUGAGAAAAAAGUGCACGUUUGAGUGGCCCAGAGCAGUUCAAACCCAUGUUGUUCAGGGAUCGGCUGGAAUCCUAAUGGAAUCCUAAUACUGUCACAUCAGACAUUGAUCCAGUGCUUGCUGUGUGCUGUUGGUGUUCCAGGUAGUUUCAUCAAUCCCCCCAACAACCCUAGUGGUAGGUGGUGUUAUUCUUGUUUAUGGAUGAAGGAGCUGAGGCUCAGAGAGGUUAAGUGAGUUAUCUGAGGUUACACAGCCAGUAAGCAGCACAGUUGGAAUUUUAACCCAAGCUGUUCAGAUAUGUAGGGCCUGUGCUGUUACCCACUCCUGUUUCUUAUGACAGUAAGCGAGCUUGCUUCCUGCCUUUGCUGCCUUGGCUGUAACUUGAACACCAUGUGGGACCCAGGAGCCUGAUCCCAGGAGCUGAGCUUUUGCAAUAAAUGUCUUACUUUUGCCUGGAAUUGCUGUCUGUCCUGACUAGGGGCUUCAGAGCAGAGUCAGUACUGGUUGUUCCCAAGAUGCGUUUCCCCAUCCUGGCUCGUGCCCUGGGAUGGCAUGGCAUCACUGCCUUGCUGGCGUGUCCUCACGGCGCCUGGAUGUGGCGGACAGGCUCGUUUUUAGAGCGCUUCCUGGCCUGCCUCACUCCGAGUGUCUGACCCAGAUUCCAGGGGCUGUGAGGGGCAGGACCUUAACCCCUCCACUCUCUCUCAGCCAGCUCUCCCUCUGCCCCCUGAUUCCCUUCCCUGUGGCUGGGAGGGGACCCAUCAGGCUUCACCUGAAGAGUUCUCUCCGAUGUCCUCAACGCCAUCUCCCCUGCCAGCCACCAGGGCGGGGCCCGCCUUGCUCCCUGCCCGCUCUGUAUGGACAGAUGCCUCGCCGCUUCUCAGAGGAACCUCCACAAAUUCAAGGGUCAUGACCUCAGUUGGGCCCUUAUUCUUGGUUCUCCCACCCUUUCUCCAGAAGACGUGCUGAAGUGUAGAUUUGAUCAAGGUCCUGCCCGGCCUCGGCCUGAGGAGGAGGCUGCUGGUGGUCGUCUCCGUCUGACCGGGUUUCUCGCCCCACCCUCGGUCUGGCCGAGGCCCAGGUGUGACGCCGGCCUCUCCGAACCUUGGUCCCUGCCCUUCCCAUGCUCUGCUGGGCCUCUGUGUGGAUGCCGCCUCCUUGGGGACCCUGUCCUCCCCCACCCCUUGCCCGGCCACGUCUUUCUGUUGGUCUCAUGGCUCCUGUUGAAGCGAAGGCAGAGUUGGUUUGCCAGGGGAUAUUUCAGCAAGCAAAAUUCAGAAGAGACUUUUAACGUGUUUUUAUUGUUUAAAUGAUCUGAUUGUUGGUGCUGUUCUUUCUCAAUUAUUGACAAAGGAGAGGAUGGAGCAUCCAAAUUCAAGAGUGGUUUGCUCGUUUGGAAGGGCCCCGGCUCUCGGAGGCCACCUGGGCUUGUGGGGCAGAGUGGAGCAGGACCUGGCCAUCUCAUUGACCGCUGCCAGUGGGAGCAGGGACGUGCACACGAAAAGGAACACGAAAGGAACACUGGUUUAAACAAAUGUGCGAGUCAUCCAACAUGUCUCAGUUUUGAGAUCUUGUCCUCCUGUCCCCCAGACCACCCGGCACUGUGCGCCAAGCACUGUGGGUGAAUAGCCAGUGACCCAGGGCCCCUCAUGCCCAGGGGGACGGCAGUUGCCCCAGGGCAGAGGCCAUGGUCUCUGCUGCAUCCUGGAGCCUGGCCUGGGGUCAGAGGAGAUGAAAACGGACUGAGAACUAGAGUUUAUUGAAAAAUAAAAAAAUAAUUUUUGAAAAAACUAGCAAGACCACCCACCAGAGGGGUUGCUAGAUAAGACAGCCUCGGCUGAUCUGCCUCCAUGGUUUAGCUUCUUUGCAGGUGGCGUGAGUGCAUGGGGUCAUCGCAGCUCCAGCCGUGGGUGUUAGAGCCUCUCAAUUUUGGAAAUUAGAUUUUCUCAGAUUGUCUGAACCUUCCCUCAUUGCCCCACAUGGAACCUUGGAGGAGGUUCCUGCAGAUACCGUUAGUUGAUAAUCAUCUUGAAGAUUAAUUUAGGAUUCCAGGAGUUUCUUUUUGGAAUCCUAGGCUCGACUGCCCCCCACUAAUCAUGAGCCAGAGGAAGGAGACAGAGGAAAGUCGAUCCUUCACCACCCACAGUCCGUUCUUAAAGGGAACCAGUAAUUAAGUGCUAUUAAGCAAAAUUAAUUUGCCUCCUGCGGGAAGGUUUAUGAUGAAUGAAAGGAUUGCUGAUGGGGAGGGAGCCAGGCUGCCCUCUGUGGUCAUCAAUAUUUCAUGGCCUUUGGCAGUGGCAGGAAGUUAGCUAUCCCGGCUCCCUGACCUUGAGCAAUCUUGAAGGUGAGACAAAGCCAGGGAUGUCUGUUUUAAGGGCUUUGUUGCAAGACACCUAGUGAAAAUCUGAGUGGAAUUUGCAGGACACAUUGGUGGGUUAAUUGACUACACCCUCAGUGAGCUGAGGCUCCCGCAGCUGGGGCUCAGGACCCACCCGAAACUGUCUCAGUGCGGGAGCGGCUCUGUCAGCCACAGGGGCUGAGCUGCAGUCUUUAAUGACAGCUUUGGGGUGGAGGAGGCCCGAUUUGUAGUGUCUGUGCGUUUCUGUGGUGUCACUGUACCCCCAGUAUGGCUGGUUAAUGCUUCUGACCCCACUGGUUGGCUGAUACAGUGCAGCCCCAGGACCCCCCAGCCGGCUGCUCCCUCAGCUCCUGGUGAUCAGGGAGACCCCGCAGAGCUGCAUUUCCAGAAACACGGGUGUGCCCUCAGGCAGAACUCAUCCGUGCUGGACCCGACCCGGCCGGCCGGCCUCUUAGUCAAGAGGGUGCCUGAAAGGGAUGGGCUUUAAAAAUGAGAAGAGACGUUAACGAGCGUCUCCUUCUGUCCUUUUCUUCUCCCUAGCUGCUAUCAACUUAGCAAAGCUGAAGCUUUUCAGACAUUACUACGUCUUGGUGAGUACACGGUUCCUGAGUCUGUAAAUACGGUUGGCUGAAGUAAUAGAGCAGGUGAACUUCCAAAGAAUUGGUCAGAGCCCAGGAAGGGUGCUCCCUGGAGCUUCGCGGGCUUCGUUUGGUAAAACCAAGCAGUGGCUCUGGUCUUGCGAAAUUAAACAUGUGAGGGGUUCCCAUCGUGGCUCGGUGGUUAAUGAAUCCAACUAGUACCCAUGAGGAUGUGGGUUUGAU
rnacentral:lncRNA from 1 species